CUUAUUGUAUACGGUUCUUAACUUUGUAAUCAUUUAAUGUUGUUUUUAGUCAUAUAUGGAGGUCCAAUUUUGGUAUACAGAGUGAGUUCAUGUUUAUGUUGGGUAGAAGAUGUAGCUUUCUUUUUGUCAAUUUAAUAAGCAAAAGAAGAUGGCCAUUGAUAUCCUCCUACUGAUUUAGCAUCUUAUUUCAAAAGGUUUGGGCUAGUCUAUUGCUGCAGUGAUGGUCCAUGAUAACUUCCAGUUUAGAUGGCCUUUAGACAAAAUCUUUCUCGAUCUGGGAAGAUGGCAUGCAUCACUAGGUAAUGGUUUUCAUAAGAGUGAGGAUACAUUUUGAGCAUUAAGGUAGCUGCAUUCACAAGAGUUCCAGCAUACUCCAGUUCUGUGAUGGAAGGCAGUUGUUUCGUCAUGGUUGAAAUUGAAAUGGCAACCACCAACAGAAUACACCAAAUAUUACUGGACAGGAGCAAAAGAUCCAGUGAUGGUAUAUGUUACUUUCAGAUAACUAGUGUUUAUUACUUCAGUUCAUAGCUCAUGAUGUUGUUAUAUGGAACUUGUGAUAAAAGAGAUAGCCUGUUU